AUUAGUCUAAAAAAUUAUCAUCUAGAAUUGUAACAAAGUACUGAGGUGGCAGUGUGACAAGAUGCUUAACUUCCGCAAUGGGGGUCUCGAGUUUGAAUCUUGGUGAAGACUGGGAUUUUGAGUUUCAGAAUUUUAGGGUGCCCCUGAAUCCACCCAAUCCUAAUGGAUACCUGGUCUCAGUAGAGAAAAUAAAGGUGAUUCGUUGUUGUGCUGGUCACAUGACACCCUUAUAAACGUUGGACAUGGAAACAGACGAAUGUUAAAUUAUCUGCCCCUGCAGAUUACAAGGACUGAAAAGGGUACUCAUAUGGUCUGAAGAAAAACAGACUACAUCAAGCUAUAAAUAGUAAGAACUUCACAAUUAUUUUUUGAAUAAUUAGGACUGUACAGUAAUUGUAAAUCAACUAAAAAUAUUGAGUGUUUUAGUUGUUGUUUUUUUUUUACUUCUUUAUUUCAUACAAGCAAUGUUUGUAUGUUUGAUUCAAAAAAGUUUUUUUCUAAAUAGCCUU